rnacentral:piRNA from 1 species
UGCUCAGGGUUUACACAGGCCCUCUCUCCCU